AGCAGCAGCCGCGGUAAUACGUAGGGUGCGAGCGUUAAUCGGAAUUACUGGGCGUAAGGCGUGCGCAGGCGGCUAUGCAAGACAGAUGUGAAAUCCCCGGGCUCAACCUGGGAACUGCAUUUGUGACUGCAUGGCUAGAGUACGGUAGAGGGGGAUGGAAUUCCGCGUGUAGCAGUGAAAUGCGUAGAUAUGCGGAGGAACACCGAUGGCGAAGGCAAUCCCCUGGACCUGUACUGACGCUCAUGCAUGAAAGCGUGGGGAGCAAACAGGAUUAGAUACCCCGGUAGUCCCUGUCUCUUAUAC
rnacentral:rRNA from 1 species